rnacentral:rRNA from 1 species
CCUACGGGUGGCAGCAGUGAGGAAUAUUGGUCAAUGGGCGCAAGCCUGAACCAGCCAAGUCGCGUGAAGGAUGACGGUCCUAUGGAUUGUAAACUUCUUUUAUAAGGGAAUAAAGUGAGGGACGUGUCCCGUUUUGUAUGUAUUUUAUGAAUAAGGAUCGGCUAACUCCGUGCCAGCAGCCGCGGUAAUACGGAGGAUCCGAGCGUUAUCCGGAUUUAUUGGGUUUAAAGGGAGCGUAGGUGGAUUUUUAAGUCAGCGGUGAAAGUCUGUGGCUCAACCUUAGAAUUGCAGUUGAUACUGGGAGGCGUGAGUAUGUUUGAGGCAGGCGGAAUUAGUGGUGUAGCGGUGAAAUGCUUAGAUAUCACGAAGAACCCCGAUUGCGAAGGCAGCCUGCCAAGC